rnacentral:rRNA from 1 species
AAUCAACGCUGGCGGCGUGCCUCAGACAUGCAAGUCGAACGCGAAAGUUUCCUUCGGGGGAUGAGUAGAGUGGCGCACGGGUGAGUAACACGUAGGUAAUCUACCUUUGGAUGGGGAAUAACAAUCGGAAACGGUUGCUAAUACCGCAUAAUGCAGCGGCACCUAAUGGUGACAGUUGUUAAAGCGGGGAUCGAAAGACCUCGCGUCUGAAGAGGAGCCUGCGGCGGAUUAGCUAGUUGGUAAGGUAACGGCUUACCAAGGCGACGAUCCGUAGCCGGCCUGAGAGGGCGGUCGGCCACACUGACACUGACAUACGGGUCAGACUCCUACGGGAGGCAGCAGUCGGGAAUUUUGGGCAAUGGGCGAAAGCCUGACCCAGCAACGCCGCGUGAAGGAUAGAAA